GACGAACGCUGGCGGCGUGCUUAACACAUGCAAGUCGAACGGAAAGGCCCUGCUUUUGUGUGGUGCUCGAGUGGCGAACGGGUGAGUAACACGUGAGUAACCUGCCCUCGACUUUGGGAUAACUUCAGGAAACUGGGGCUAAUACCGGAUAGGAGCUCCUGCUGCAUGGUGGGGGUUGGAAAGUUUCGGCGGUUGGGGAUGGACUCGCGGCUUAUCAGCUUGUUGGUGGGGUAGUGGCUUACCAAGGCUUUGACGGGUAGCCGGCCUGAGAGGGUGACCGGCCACAUUGGGACUGAGAUCCGGCGCAGACUCCUACGGAAGGUAGCAGUGGGGAAUAUUGCACAACGGGCGGAAGACUGAUGAAGCAACGCCGCGUGCGGGAUGACGGCCUUCGGGUUGUAGACCGCUUUCGCAUGUGACGAAGCGUGAGCGACGGUAAAGGGUAAAGAAGCAGCGGAUAACUAC
rnacentral:rRNA from 1 species